rnacentral:misc_RNA from 1 species
UUAAGUUCAGCGGGUAGUCCUACCUGAUUUGAGGUCAGAUUUGUCAAUAAAUUUUGUUUUAGAAGCCAGGCGACCCCUUUCCUACUCGCAAACGACGGCGUAAACAAGAAGUUUAUCACGCCAGAGGCAAAAAAAGGAGAGGGUCCUCGCUAAUGCAUUUGAGAGGAGCCGACCAGAAAGGCCGGCACACCUCCAACAAU